GACGAACGCUGGCGGCGUGCUUAACACAUGCCAGUCGAACGGAAAGGCCCUGCUUUUGUGGGGUGCUCGAGUGGCGAACGGGUGAGUAACACGUGAGUAACCUGCCCUUGACUUUGGGAUAACUUCAGGAAACUGGGGCUAAUACCGGAUAGGAGCUCCUGCUGCAUGGUGGGGGUUGGAAAGUUUCGGCGGUUGGGGAUGGACUCGCGGCUUAUCAGCUUGUUGGUGGGGUAGUGGCUUACCAAGGCUUUGACGGGUAGCCGGCCUGAGAGGGUGGCCGGCCACAUGGGGACUGAGAUACGGCCCAGACGCCUACGGGAGGCAGCAGUGGGGAAUAUUGCACAAUGGGCGGAAGCCUGAUGCAGCAACGCCGCGUGCGGGAUGACGGCCUUCGGGUUGUAAACCGCUUUCGCCUGUGACGAAGCGUGAGUGACGGUAAUGGGUAAAGAAGCACCGGCUAACUACGUG
rnacentral:rRNA from 1 species